GCUGGGAUAGCUCAGUCAGUAAAGCAUGAGUCUCUUCAUCUCACGGUUGCGGGUUCGAACCCCACAUUGGGUG
rnacentral:tRNA from 1 species